UACGGGGGGGGGCAAGCGUUGUUCGGAAUUACUGGGCGUAAAGGGCUCGUAGGCGGCCAACUAAGUCAUACGUGAAAUCCCUCGGCUUAACCGGGGAACUGCGUCUGAUACUGGAUGGCUUGAGAUUGGGAGAGGGAUGCGGAAUUCCAGGUGUAGCGGUGAAAUGCGUAGAUAUCUGGAGGAACACCGGUGGCGAAGGCGGCAUCCUGGACCAACACUGACGCUGAGGAGCGAAAGCCAGGGGAGCAAAGCGGG
rnacentral:rRNA from 1 species